UCGCCGCCGCAACCGUUCCGGGAUGAAAGCUCCCGCGUGGGGGUGGGAGGAAGCCUGGUCCGGAGCCCCGGCUCACACAUCGCUGGGCUCACGGACUCCACCCGACUGACCGCUGGUGACUGUGCCGCCGGCGACGCAGCCCUCCUCCCCCUUCCCGGCCGCUGGACCUGGGGGGAGUCUCCACGUCAGGAUAAGGGGGAGGGCAGGCGCACGCUGUUCCAACAGGGAUCUCUCUCCCGCAGGCCUGCAGCAGGACUCAUGGCUAAAACGGAACUUUCUGUUGAAGAGUGGGCUUAGAAAAAUACAGUUUCUCGACGGGAA